rnacentral:rRNA from 1 species
UACAGAGGUCUCGAGCGUUGUUCGGAUUCAUUGGGCGUAAAGGGUGCGUAGGUGGCGCUGUAAGUCGGGUGUGAAAUCCUGGGGGCUUAACCCCGGAACUGCAUUCGAUACUGCCGUGCUUGAGGACUGGAGAGGAGACUGGAAUUUACGGUGUAGCGGUGAAAUGCGUAGAUAUCGUAAGGAAGACCAGUGGCGAAGGCGGGUCUCUGGACAGUUCCUGACGCUGAGGCACGAAGGUCAGGGGAGCAAACGGG